AAAAAGGCAAAACUUGGAUUUGCGUGUCCAAUCUUGACUGUCCGUCUUAUAUGAAAUUUUUUUAUAAUUCGUAUUUUCAUUGUUGUUAGAUGAUAAAACAUGAUUAAUAUUUUAUGCGUGACUUGUCUUUUUAUUUUUUUCAAAUAAGACGGACGGUUAAAUAUUGGGCACGGAAACCAGGGUUUGUCUUUUU
rfam:Oryza rufipogon genomic scaffold, chr05